GAAAUGCGAUAAGUAAUGUGAAUUGCAGAAUUCAGUGAAUCAUCGAAUCUUUGAACGCACCUUGCGCUCCUUGGUAUUCCUUGGAGCAUGCCUGUUUGAGUAUCAUGAAAUCUUCAAAGUAAAUCUUUUGUUAACUCAAUUGGUUUCUACUUUGGUAUUGGAGGUCUUUGCAGCUUCACACCUGCUCCUCUUUGUUCAUUAGCUGGAUCUCAGUGUUAUGCUUGGUUCCACUCGGCGUGAUAAGUUAUCUAUCGCUGAGGACACUGUAAAAGGUGGCCAAGGUAAAUGCAGAUGAACCGCUUCUAAUAGUCCAUUGACUUGUACAAUACUUUUAUGAUCUGAUCUCAAAUCAGGUAGGACUACCCGCAGAACUUAAGC
rnacentral:misc_RNA from 1 species